rnacentral:lncRNA from 10 species
CUGAUCAAUCCCUGUGAGUGAUUUGGAGCUAGAGAUUUCUUCUAGGGUUAUACAUUAUGCAAGUAUGGAAGAUGGUGAAGAAGUCUAUGGAAGGCUGUUGUCUCCAAACCUGGUGGUUGGCCUGAACUCACCAUAGAUCAGCAGGGCUGAGAGUCUGAGAGACAGGAAGUAGGGGAGAAUAAGGAAAACCUGGAAUGCACAAGGGACAAGAAGAACCCAGAUCUGUCACAGGUGACCUGCAGAAGGAAGCUGCCAGGAGGCUGCUCUGCUCGCGCACCUGGCCCAGGACUCACUGGAGCUGGAAGAGCUGCAGGCCUGGCCCAUAAUCAGCAACACCGAGCAGGUGCUUCAACAUCGCCCAGCCCUUCUGAGCCUACUGGAUGUGCCUUCACUUCUGCCUUCCAGUUCACUACAGGUUUCUUUUGUGGCCAACCUUGGCCUGGAAACAUAAAGCAGAAAGAAUUCUGGGAAGCACAGUUCCAGCUUAGAUAUUGUUGCUGCAGUACAAGUUGUCAAACUCAACCUUCUCCUGCGCUAGUGAAACUGACAGCCAUGGAGGAAUAUGGGAAUCCACUUUCCUGGAUGUAUAACCUGGCUUUUCAUCGUGACAUUCAAAGUAAUUCACAGCAGGAAACUUAACACGCACUGAGCUCUGUCUUCA